rnacentral:rRNA from 1 species
GACGGAGGAUGCAAGCGUUAUCCGGAAUUAUUGGGCGUAAAGCGUCCGCAGGUGGCUGUUCACGUCUGCUGUCAAAGCGCAGAGCUUAACUCUGUACAGGCGGUGGAAACUGAAGAGCUAGAGUAUGGUAGGGGUAGAGGGAAUUCCCGGUGUAGCGGUGAAAUGCGUAGAUAUCGGGAAGAACACCAGUGGCGAAAGCGCUCUACUGGGCCAUAACUGACACUGAGGGACGAAAGCUAGGGGAGCGAAAGGG